GGGAAUGAUCCUGGCUCAGUGUUAAGAGUGCCUGCUUUGCAUGCAGAAGGUCCCAGGUUCAAUCCUCAGCAUCUCCC